rnacentral:rRNA from 1 species
GACGAACGCUGGCGGCGUGCUUAACACAUGCAAGUCGAACGGAAAGGCCCUGCUAUUGUGGGGUGCUCGAGUGGCGAACGGGUGAGUAACACGUGAGUAACCUGCCCUUGACUUUGGGAUAACUUCAGGAAACUGGGGCUAAUACCGGAUAGGAGCUCCUGCUGCAUGGUGGGGGUUGGAAAGUUUCGGCGGUGGGGGAUGGACUCGCGGCUUAUCAGCUUGUUGGUGGGGUAGUGGCUUACCCAGGCUUUGACGGGUAGCCGGCCUGAGUGGGUGACCGGCCACAUUGGGACUGAGGUACGGCCCAGACUCCUAUGGGAGGCAGCAGUGGGGAAUAUUGCACAAUGGGCGGAAGCCUGAUGCAGCAGCGCCGCGUGCGGGAUGACGGCCUUCGGGUUGUAAACCGCUUUCGCCUGUGACGAAGCGUGAGUGACGGUAAUGGGUAAAGAAGCACCGGCUAACUACGUG